UCCGAUGGGCAUUCAACGUUGCCCUUCCUGCCUCUUUCGGUUUCCUCUCGAAGAAUGUUGUUGUGGGAGACGACAAGCGCAGCACCGCAUUGCCAUACUGCUUCUUCAUCCCGUGCGGUAUUCAGUGCUCUCAACAAGGAUUGCCCAGAGGAAGGACAAGGUGCAGGCCAGCUGGAGUGAGUAGACAUGCACCGAAGAUGAUGACGACGACACCACACAAGUUCUCACCACGUGUGCUCUGUUGCAAAUCCCAUACUGCAGCAGUGGUUGCAGCUCAGGUCUGAUUAAUGAAGGGCAUAGCCAAUGACUGGAUCCUGGAACCAUCUCACUUGCAGGGAUAGUGAUUAUCUAAGUCUCAGGGUGAAGAGCUGUUGGACAAAUGGAAAACAAUCGUUCCAGACCCCACUUCAAAGAGGUUGACAAUCGAAAGGCGCUGCAGCAACACUCUUUCGGAUGGGACUGUACAUAUGCAGGAAGGAACUAAAUGAGCAUUGAAGAAGGAUGAUGUACCAUGCAUGUCUCAGCUGAUUGACACACCAGGGAACUGCACGAGUGAUGAACUCCAAGGAACUGGACUGCUGCUGUCCAGCUGAAGGCAAGUUGAUCUCUCCAGACUGCACGAGGACGUUCUUCCACGCGUUGCUCUCAGCAGUGACUGGCGACCCUUCUAAAGUUUCCAGAACACUCUCUACACUUUCUUCUGCAAGAUAUGGGGUAACAGCUUAGUCACCGACUCCUUGGACUUUCGAAGAGCUCCUUCGAUCCUUCGACCUUUCUCGACCAACACUGCAUCACUCCCUCCAAUGUUAACAGUUCUGCCGCAACCUGCUCCCUUAGGAGCUCAACCGUCAGGUGCUUAUCUCUCAACUUGUCUUGCCGGCAAGCCUUGCAGUUCACGUCGCCUCAUGAGGUUAAGACUCCUUCGCGAGACACAGCCUUCACAUCUUGACGUGUCCUGGUCGCUGCCCUCAAUUCCUCCAACCUCACCCGAAGUUUUCGCUGUGGUUGCAUCUCCCUUUCAAUUAGCGAUUGGUAUUGGGUAGCCAUUGAAGCCUGGUGUCGCUGGCACCCGCAGUCUUGCAUGUCAUCUUCCCUGUGAGUUGCUCCCUUUGAGCUCCAUAAGCUCCUCUGCAGCAACAGCACUAUUCUGUCUUCCGUUGACCCAUCACACCCAGUGACCUAUAGCAGCCUGAAGAGUUUGGGAAGCAAUCCUGCCCUGACUGUACCAGGUUAACUCGUGCCAGCAAUGCUUAGUUGCGAAGACAGACCUUGCUGCAGUAUCCCGUCUGGCUUCCCGUAGUAGCACUCCACGUAGACGCUGCAACUCUCCUGAGGAUUGUCUGGUCUCAAGCCAGCAUCAGCAGACUCCAAGCGAUGACCAUCCCAACCACCAUACCCUGUCGAAUCCUGUCGACUGCACCAGUAAAGUUAGGAAGGCUAGGAAGGAUUUUCUUGUAGCUUCACACUGAAGAGGUAAUUACAGCAGUCUCGUGGUAAUUCAAACCCCGUUAUUUUGUACUUUCACCUAAUACGUACAAACAUAUUUCUAAUGUUUGUUUGACCCGCUAUAUUCUCAAUAUAUGUAUCGAUAAGCUCGUGAAUUCAAAUGGCUUAAUUCACACUUUUCGUACCCUCAUUCUCCACAGGAAGUGGUGAAACGAGGCUCGCAAAGCGGCUCCUGUUUGCAAUUGGUUAUGCCAUCUCUUGCAGCAUUGUAAAUCAUGCGCUGAACAUGCAAGCACAAAACAAAACUUCUGCUUUGCUUCACUGCUUGUGUUGCCCAUGCACAGACAGAGUCUGCCACUGCAUGCUUUCUGAAUGUGUUUUACUUCGAACGUGCCAUGUCUUCUUGGGGAUAUACAAGACUCUUUCAAUGAAGGAUAAGCCAGCUGUUAUUGAUGAAGUGGAGUACUAAGUGAAGGAGAGUGCCGUGGCAUUACUAAAAGUAUGCUGUCUGAAAGUGAAGGAGAAAGUCACAGAAAAUGCAAGCAAAUUUACGCCACAGAGACAAAGGUUGAGAGAAGCGGCGCUCCCAAAGUGCAAAGAGCUCUAAUUUGCCAGAAAGCAGGCUGGGCUGAUCUUACGAGAAAAGGCUGGUGAACUGGCUUCCCGGCUUGAUGUAAAAGAUUUUGAAUGCAGUGAUGGUUGGAUUACAUGGUUUAAGGAAUGCAUGGUUUACUGUUUAAGACGAGCAGUGGUGAAGUGGUGUAUUGAUGUCUAUUCGACAUUCUAACGAAGUAGCUCUAUUGCUCGGUAUCCAUCCCCUAUAGUUCCCCUAGCAUAGCUCACGUUACACUAAUAUACGGCUCAUAGUUGUAUAACUGUAGCGCAUUGUUAGACCUUUUUUAGACCAAAUGUCUGAGUGGGACAGUAUUUGUCUAUGCACUGAGUCGUAUGUAUUAGCCGUGAUGUAUAAAUGAUACAAUGUAUUAGCCGUGAUGCAACAACUAAGUGUGGUCUGCCUCAGCCAAAUCUCGUUGUUUAGCCGUGAUGUUGUUACAAAAUUUAUUUCUAUUAACAUAUUGCGUAAACACUGAGUAAAGCUGCAAACAUGUGGACAAGUUACUGGACAUCGUGAGCAGUUCCCCUCUUUGUACAGUGACAUGCCAGCAUAUCUAGGUACUCUUCCAGAGUCGAUAAUAAUAUACAUGUACACAAAUCCGAGUACUUGUAUCACUGGCAGCUGUGAGCAAUGCCUCUGUCUUCGGGUUCAUGCCCUGAUGUUGACUGCUCCAACGGCAACAAUUUUACACACGUGUGGGGUGGUCGACGGCUGUGGGUUGGAGACAGAUCCACUGA